rnacentral:rRNA from 1 species
AGAGUUUGAUCCUGGCUCAGGACGAACGCUGGCGGCGUUAACACAUGCAAGUCAAGGGGGCCCAGCAAUGGGCAACCGGCGAACGGGUGCGUAACACGUGAGCAAUCUGCCGUUCUUGUGGGGGAUAGCCGGCCCAACGGCCGGGUAAUACCGCAUACGCUCUUUUAGAGACAUCUCUUUUAGAGGAAACCCUUCGGGGGCAAGACGAGGAGCUCGCGGCCUAUCAGCUAGUUGGUGGGGUCAAGGCCCACCAAGGCGACGACGGGUAGCUGGUCUGAGAGGAUGGCCAGCCACAUUGGGACUGAGAGACGGCCCAGACUCCUACGGGAGGCAGCAGUGGGGAAUCUUGCGCAAUGGCCUAACGGCUGACGCAGCGACGCCGCGUGUGGGAUGACGCCCUUCGGGGUGUAAACCACUGUUGCCCGGGACGAAGAGCGGACUUUAGUCCGCCUGACGGUACCGGGUGAGGAAGCACCGGCUAACUCCGUGCCAGCAGCCGCGGUAAUACGGAGGGUGCGAGCGUUGUCCGGAAUCACUGGGCGUAAAGGGCGCGUAGCGGCUCGUUAAGGGUGCGGGAAAGCCCGGGGCUUAACCCCGGGUCGGCCGUGCCGACUGAUGAGCUCGAGCACUGUAGAGGCAGGUGGAAUUCCGGGUGUAGCGGUGGAAUGCGUAGAGAUCCGGAAGAACCCAGUGGCGAAGCNNNNNNCUGGGCAGUNNCUGACGCUGAGGCGCGACAGCGUGGGGANNAAACAGGAUUAGAUACCCUAGUAGUCC